rnacentral:rRNA from 1 species
AAAGGCGGCCAGAGCGGUGGGGACACACCCGUACCCAUUCCGAACACGGAAGUUAAGCCCCCCAGCGUCCCGUGAAGUACGGGAGUGAGCGUUCCUCUGGGAACCACGGGUCGCCGCCUGCC